UACGUAGGGUCCGAGCGUUGUCCGGAUUUAUUGGGCGUAAAGCGCCCGCAGGCGGCUUGCCAAGUUCGAUGUGAAAUCUCCCGGCUCAACUGGGAGGGUGCAUCGAAAACUGGCAGGCUUGAGGCAGGGAGAGGGAUGUGGAAUUCCAGGUGUAGUGGUGAAAUGCGCAGAUAUCAGGAGGAACACCGGUGGCGAAGGCGGCUUUCUGGGCCUUACCUGACGCUGAGGAGCGAAAGCUGGGGGAGCAAACAGG
rnacentral:rRNA from 1 species